CUUGCAACCAAUAAGAGGUCCAGCCUGCCCAGUGACUCUGUUCAACGGCCGCGGUAUCCUAACCGUGCAAAGGUAGCGCAAUCAUUUGUCCUUUAAAUAAGGACUAGUAUGAACGGCACCACGAAAGCUAUACUGUCUCCUUCCCCUAAUCAGUGAAACUAAUCUUCCCGUGAAGAAGCGGGGAUAAUUUUGUAAGACGAGAAGACCCUAUGGAGCUUUAAACACACAACAAUUGUAACGGACCCACCCUCUCCCCCCGGAAUAAACCACCCACUUGAACAUUUUGAUUGUAAGUUUUAGGUUGGGGUGACCACGGAGCAGAAAAUAACCUCCAUGGUGAAUGGGAUUCUCCCCUUAAACCCAGGGCCACAACCCUAAGGAUCAAUAAAUUGACACCCAUUGACCCAAUACUUUGACCAACGAAC
rnacentral:rRNA from 1 species